rnacentral:ncRNA from 1 species
ACAGUACAAACUGAGCAGACGGCAGGCGGCGGCCUGUGCGUCGGGCCGUCCAUGACGGCAGCGGAUGAGAUUCACCACACAUCUGCGGGACAGU